rnacentral:rRNA from 1 species
GACGAACCGUGCGAACGUUGUUCGGAAUCACUGGGCUUAAAGGGCGCGUAGGCGGGUCAUCAAGUCCGGGGUGAAAGCCCCCAGCUUAACUGGGGAAGGGCCCUGGAUACUGAUGGUCUGGAGGGGGGUAGGGGCAGUGGGAACUUCCGGUGGAGCGGUGAAAUGCGUUGAUAUCGGAAGGAACGCCGAUGGCGAAAGCGCACUGCUGGACCUUUUCUGACGCUGAGGCGCGAAAGCCAGGGGAGCAAACGGG